CUGCUGCCUCCCGUAGGAGUUUGGGCCGUGUCUCAGUCCCAAUGUGGCCGUUCACCCUCUCAGGCCGGCUACUGAUCGUCGCUUUGGUGGGCCGUUACCCCGCCAACUGGCUAAUCAGACGCGGAUCCAUCGUAUACCACCGGAGUUUUUCACACUGUUCCAUGCGGAACCGUGCGCUUAUGCGGUAUUAGCACCUAUUUCUAAGUGUUAUCCCCCUGUAUACGGCAGGUUAUCCACGCGUUACUCACCCGUCCGCCACUAACCCA
rnacentral:rRNA from 1 species